ACCAGGAAGGCCGAGUGGUUAAGGCGUUGGACUUAAGUUCAAAUGUAUGGAUGUCCGCGUGGGUUCGAACCCCACUCCUGGUA